rnacentral:rRNA from 1 species
GAAAGUAAUAAAGGGCGUAUGGGGGAUGCCUAGGCUCUUGGAGGCGACGAAAGACGUGGUAAGCUGCGAUAAGCCUCGGGGAUUUGCAAACGAGAAUUGAUCCGAGGAUUUCUGAAUGGGACAACCCGCUAGGCAGAAGGCCUAGCACACGAAAGUGGGCCAACCCUCUGAACUGAAACAUCUUAGUAGGAGGAGGAAAAGAAAGAAACAUCGAUUUCCUAAGUAGCGGCGAGCGAACGGGAAGAAGCCUAAACCAUACUUGUUACGGCAAUUAUGGGGUUGUAGGACUGCAAUAUUCAAGUGACUGUCAACUGGAAUGUUCUGGAAAGUUCAUCCAUAGAGAGUGAAAGACUCGUACAGGUAAGCACGUUAUGCGAUAGCAGUAUCCUGAGUAGGGCGGGACACGAGGAAUCCUGUCUGAAUCUGCCGGGACCACCCGGUAAGGCUAAAUACUCCCAAGAGACCGAUAGUGAACCAGUACCGUGAGGGAAAGGUGAAAAGAACCCCGAACAGGGGAGUGAAAUAGAACCUGAAACCAUACGCUUACAACCGGUCGGAGCAGCUUCGUGCUGUGACGGCGUGCCUAUUGAAUAAUGAGCCUACGAGUUACUAAUCACUGGCGAGGUUAAGUGCAUGGAUGCACGGAGCCGAAGCGAAAGCGAGUCUUAAUAGGGCGUUUAGUCAGUGGUUGUAGACGCGAAACCUUGCGAUCUACCCUUGAGCAGGUUGAAGGUUGGGUAAAACCAACUGGAGGACCGAACGAAUAAGCGUUGAAAAGCUUCUCGAUGACUUGAGGGUAGGGGUGAAAGGCUAAUCAAGCUGGGAAAUAGCUCGUACUCCCCGAAAUGCCUUUUGGGGCAGCGUUGUAAUAAAGAGUCUACUGGAGGUAGAGCUACUGAUUGGAUGCGGGGGCUUCACCGCCUACCAAAUCCUGACAAACUCCGAAUGCCAGUAGUAUGAUUUACAGCAGUGAGUGACUGGGUGCUAAUGUCCAGUCGCAAAAGAGGAACAACUCAGACCAGCAACUAAGGUCCCGAAGAAUAUGCUAAGUUGAUCUAACGAUGUUUUGUUGCAGAGACAGCUAGGAUGUUAGCUUGGAAGCAGCUAUUCAUUCAAAGAGUGCGUAACAGCUCACUAGUCGAGCGACAGAGCGUGGAUAAUAAACGGGCAUCAAGCAUAUCACCGAAGUUCUGGGCGCGAGAGCGCGGUAGGGGAGCAUUCCAUUCAGCGUCGAAGCAGUUUCGUGAGGAAUUGUGGAGCGUAUGGAAAAGCAAAUGUAGGCAUGAGUAACGAUAAUGCGGGAGAGUAACCCGCACACCGCAAGACCAAGGUUUCCUGAUCAACGCUAAUCGGAUCAGGGUUAGUCGGGUCCUAAGGGUAAGCCGAACGGUGAUCUCGAUGGAUAAUCGGUUAAUAUUCCGAUACUGACAUAUACCUCGAUGGAGAGACGAAGGAACGUAAGUGCCGCCGCCUGACGGAAUAGGUGGUUAAAGGGCGUAGGUAUAGGGACAGAUUAAGAGUUAGUCCUUGCUGAACCCCGACAGUACAGAGAGCCUACGGGCAAUUUGAUAGUGCACCCAAGUCGACUUCCGAGAAAAUCUUCUAAGUUAUAGUAUAUGUCACCCGUACCGUAAACCGACACAGGUGGUCGAGGAGAGUAUCCUAAGGUGCUCGAGUGAAUCACGGUUAAGGAACUAGGCAAAUUAACCCCGUAACUUCGGGAAAAGGGGUCCCUAUGAAAGUAGGGCGCAGCGAAGAGGUCCAGGCGACUGUUUAUCAAAAACACAGGGCUCUGCAAAUUCGAAAGAAGACGUAUAGGGCCUGACACCUGCCCGGUGCUGGAAGGUUAAGAGGGGAUGUCAUCGCAAGAGAAGCAUUGAAUCGAAGCCCCAGUAAACGGCGGCCGUAACUAUAACGGUCCUAAGGUAGCGAAAUUCCUUGUCGGGU